rnacentral:rRNA from 1 species
UACGUAGGGGGCAAGCGUUGUCCGGAUUUAUUGGGCGUAAAGCGCACGCAGGCGGUCUUGUGAGUUUCGAGUGACAGGUGGUGGCUUAACUGCCACAGGCCUCGGAAAACGGCAAGACUUGAGGACUUCAGAGGGAGGCGGAAUUCCAGGUGGAGCGGUGAAAUGCGUAGAGAUCUGGAAGAACACCAAAGGCGAAGGCAGCCUCCUGGGAAGUAUCUGACGCUCGGGUGCGAAAGCUAGGGGAGCGAACGGG